CACGUAGGCGGAAAGUUAAGUGUCUUGUGAAAUCCCCCGGCUCAACCGGGGAAUGGCAGGGCAUACUGGCUUUCUUGAGGCAAGUAGGGGUACAUGGAACUUUGGGUGGAGCGGUGAAAUGCGUAGAUAUCCAAAGGAACGCCAGCGGAGAAAUCGGUGUACUGGGCUUGUUCUGACGCUGAGGUGCGAAAGCGUGGGUAGCGAACAGGAUUAGAUACCCUGGUAGUC
rnacentral:rRNA from 1 species